AACGAACGCUGGCGGCAUGCCUAACACAUGCAAGUCGAACGAGACCUUCGGGUCUAGUGGCGCACGGGUGCGUAACGCGUGGGAACCUGCCCUUAGGUUCGGCAUAACUCCCCGAAAGGGGUGCUAAUACCGGAUAAUGUCUUCGGACCAAAGAUGUAUCGCCUUUGGAUGGGGCCGCGUUGGUUUGGCUAGUUGGUAGGGUAAAAGCCUACCAAGGCGACGAUCCAUAGCUGGUCUGAGAGGAUGAUCAGCCACACUGGGACUGAGACACGGCCCAGACUCCUACGGGAGGCAGCAGUGGGGAAUAUUGGACAAUGGGCGAAAGCCUGUUCCAGCAAUGCCGCGUGAGUGAUGAAGGCCGUAGGGUUGUAAAGCUCUUUUACCCGGGAUGAUAAUGACAGUACCGGGAGAAUAAGCUCCGGCUAACUCCGUG
rnacentral:rRNA from 1 species